UUCCAGGAAUGACAGGAAGCAAACCAAUUCCACCCCAAGAUACAAACAAAGAACAGCACCCUCUCAAAUGAUGCUGCAUGAUAAGUGGCCACAGAGAGCAUCACUGUAAUCAGUCAGAAAGGCAGAGGUUGCCAGGAAAGAUGCAUCCACAACUUCUUUCAGCAUCUUCUAUGUAGCAUUAUUUUUCUGUGUGCUACUUGGAUUAUCUGCAUCAGGAUCUAACAGUGACCCUUGUUGAAAAGGCAGAUUCUCUGGUCCAACUUCAGAACUCAUGAAUCAGAAACUCAGAGGAUGUACCAAACAGAAUAUAUCAGCAAAUUCCCAAAACAGAAACCAAGCGGGUCACAUCUGCUGAUCCCAAUGCAAUACAUUAAAACACAAAAAUAAAAGGAUAAUUAAAAAUAAAAAA